rnacentral:rRNA from 1 species
UACGGACGGGGCAAGCGUUGUUCGGAAUCAUUGGGCGUAAAGGGCGCGUAGGUGGUUCUGUAUGUCUACCGUGAAAGCGUACGGCUCAACCGUAUUUUGUCGGUAGAAACUGCAGGACUUGAGGCUGGGAGGGGCUGGUGGAAUUCCCUGUGUAGCGGUGAAAUGCGUAGAGAUGGGGGAGAACACUCGUGGCGAAGGCGGCCAGCUAGACCAGUUCUGACACUGAGGCGCGACAGCGUGGGAGCAAACAGG